UACGAAGGGGGCUAGCGUUGCUCGGAAUUACUGGGCGUAAAGGGCGCGUAGGCGGCCGAUCAAGUCAGGCGUGAAAUUCCCGGGCUCAACCUGGGGGCUGCGCUUGAGACUGGUUGGCUAGAGGCCGAGAGAGGGUGGUGGAAUUCCCAGUGUAGAGGUGAAAUUCGUAGAUAUUCGGAAGAACACCAGUGGCGAAGGCGACUUACUGGACACAUAUUGACGCUGAGGUGCGAAAGCGUGGGGAGCAAACAGG
rnacentral:rRNA from 1 species